CCGCAGCCUCUCCUCGUAAGUCAGGUGCCCCAGCCCCCUAAUCAUUUUCGUUGCCCUCCGCUGGACUCUCUCCAAUUUGUCCACAUCCCUUCUGUAGUGGGGGGACCAAAACUGAACACAGUACUCCACGUGUGGCCUCACCAGCGCCGAAUAGAGGGAAAGAACCACUUCCCUC